rnacentral:lncRNA from 1 species
CGGCCAAUAGGGGAAGGUUGUGAAUCCGGCGAACCGACCGCUUUAAGAACGUGAUUGUCUUCUCUCACUCAGUUAUCAAUUGACAAAGAUGACCCAUUCUUUUUCGCCCUAAAAACAACAAUGGUACUCCCUCCGUCCCGGUGUAUAAGUCAUUCGCGUAGUUCUAGGUCAUCGAUUUGAGGAAUUAAAUAUGUGUUAUAUGUCAUG